AACUAUUCAUUACUGUUGGACGCGUGAAAAAGCGACUGGUUGUUGGUUAAUUCACAAUGGCAUGACGACGAGCUGGCCCUGUACAAAGCGAUUUUUAGCGUUGCCGGACAUCUCUACUGACGCGAACAAAUAUGGCGGAUAGUACACUGAUAGAUUUUCAACUGUUAUCGAUACUAUCGAUAUUCGCCUUUUCCGUUGCGCUAAUUUUAACACUUUCAGCGUUGAUAUUGUUAAGUAUCAAUUUUAGAAGUG